rnacentral:tRNA from 1 species
AGGCCUGUAGCUCUAAUUGGCUAGAGCUCCGGAUUCCAAAUCCGGGAGUUGGGGGUUCGAAUCCCUCCAGGCCUG